GCCACGCCGCGGGAUCUGAUGGAUUUAUUAUAAAUUAGUAUUCAUCGCUCAACCCGACAAAAGAUCUUUUGGACGUGGAAAUUAAACUCGAUGUAAGUGAAAAAAAAAAAACUCAUUACCCCAAAUUAAAUAUUGUUGGUGGUUAGGCUGAUUUUUCUCAGUGUAAUAAAAGCUUUACCUGAAAGAUUUUUAUCUCCCAUACGGUAAAAUCGAACCACGCGGUUUGCAAUUAAAAUACCGAACAACGGUACACUGAAAGAAAAGAAAAAAAAAAAAACGAAAAUUUUUCUGGCACGUGCUGGCUAACAGUUGAUUAUUUAUAUAUAUUUUCCUUUUUUUUUAUUCCCAAUAUUUAAUAAUGGCCUUCCGCAAUGACAACAAAGAAAAAUGAAUUACAUUUUUUUUUCUUAAAUUAAUUAAUAAAUAUUUAAUAAAAAUUAAUGGAAUCUUGGAACAUUAUUUUUAAUGCUCUUGCCGUGUUCCAACAUUAAAAA